rnacentral:rRNA from 1 species
UACAGAGGGUGCAAGCGUUAAUCGGAAUUACUGGGCGUAAAGGGUGCGUAGGUGGUUUGUUAAGUCAGGUGUGAAAUCCCUGGCUCAACCUGGGAACUGCAUUUGAUACUGGCAGACUCGAGUCUGGUAGAGGGUAGUGGAAUUCCGCAUGUAGCGGUGAAAUGCGUAGAGAUGCGGAGGAACAUCAGUGGCGAAGGCGACUACCUGGACCAAAACUGACGCUGAUGCGCGAAAGCGUGGGGAUCAAACAGG